UCAGACGAUGCGUCAUGCAUAUCAAUAAGCGGAGGAAAAGAAACUAACAAGGAUUCCUCUAGUAACGGCGAGUGGAGCGGGAAGAGCUCAAAUUUGAAAUCUUAAAGGGUUUCCCUUUACGAAUUGUAGUUUAAAGAAGUGUUUUCUGUUGAGGUUUUGGUAAAAGUUCUUUGGAAUAGGACAUCAUAGAGGGUGAGAAUCCCGUAUUUGACCUUUACUUUCAACUUUGUGAUACACUUUCAAAGAGUCGGGUUGUUUGGGAAUGCAGUCCAAAAUGGGUGGUAAAUUUCAUCUAAAGCUAAAUAUUGGCGAGAGACCGAUAGCGAACAAGUACCGUGAGGGAAAGAUGAAAAGAACUUUGAAAAGAGAGUUAAACAGUACGUGAAAUUGUCAAAAGGGAAGCGUUUGACACCAGUGUUGUUUUUCUGAAAAUCAAUUAAAGAACUGUUUAUGCUAAGCUGUUUAGACUUUAUCAGCUAUCUGUUUAGUUUUGAGCUUUUCUUUAAUGCACUUUUCAGUUAACAAGUCAACAUCAAUUUCUUUUGCUGUAAAAAAGCUUGAGGAAGGUGGCUUGAGAUUCGUCUUAAGUGUUUAUAGCCUCUUGCCUAUGCAGUCGGAGAGAUUGAGGUCUGCAGCGUAGAUCCUUCGGGGCUAAAUGCAUUUGUGCUAAGUUAUAGCAUUUUAUAGACAACUUGUUGACUAUGAUUUGUCUUGUAGCUUACUCGCUUAUGUUAUUUUACCUACGCUUAGGAUGUUGACACACGCGCGUGCUCG
rnacentral:rRNA from 1 species